rnacentral:rRNA from 1 species
AACGAACGCUGGCGGCAGGCUUAACACAUGCAAGUCGAGCGCCCCGCAAGGGGAGCGGCAGACGGGUGAGUAAAGCGUGGGAAUCUACCGUGCCCUACGGAAUAUAUCCGGGAAACUGGAAUUAAUACCGUAUACGCUCUACGAGGGACAGAUUUAUCGGGGUAUGAUGAGCCCGCGGUGGAUUAGCUAGUUGGUGGGGUAAAGGCCUACCAAGGCGACGAUCCAUAGCUGGUCUGAGAGGAUGAUCAGCCACAUUGGGACUGAGACACGGCCCAAACUCCUACGGGAGGCAGCAGUGGGGAAUAUUGGACAAUGGGCGCAAGCCUGAUCCAGCCAUGCCGCGUGAGUGAUGAAGGUCUUAGGAUUGUAAAGCUCUUUCACCGGUGAAGAUAAUGACGGUAACCGGAGAAGAAGCCCCGGCUAACUUCGUGCCAGCCGCCGCCGUAA